rnacentral:rRNA from 1 species
UACGUAGGGGGCAAGCGUUGUCCGGAAUCAUUGGGCGUAAAGCGCGUGUAGGCGGUUCGGUAAGUCGGCUGUGAAAGUCCAGGGCUCAACCCUGGGAUGCCGGUCGAUACUGCCGGACUAGAGUUCGGAAGAGGCGAGUGGAAUUCCAGGUGUAGCGGUGAAAUGCGUAGAUAUCUGGAGGAAUACCGGUGGCGAAGGCGGCAUCCUGGACCGGCAUUGACGCUGAGGAGCGAAAGCUAGGGGAGCAAACGGG